AUUGAACGCUGGCGGCAUGCUUUACACAUGCAAGUCGAACGGCAGCGGGGGCUUCGGCCUGCCGGCGAGUGGCGAACGGGUGAGUAAUGCAUCGGAACGUGCCCAUGUCGUGGGGGAUAACUACGCGAAAGCGUGGCUAAUACCGCAUACGCCCUGAGGGGGAAAGCGGGGGAUCUUUCGGGACCACGCGCGAUUGGAGCGGCCGGUGUCGGGAUAGCUAGUUGGUGGGGUAAAGGCUCACCAAGGCGACGAUCCGUAGCUGGUCUGAGAGGAUGAUCAGCCACACUGGGACUGAGACACGGCCCAGACUCCUACGGGAGGCAGCAGUGGGGAAUUUUGGACAAUGGGCGCAAGCCUGAUCCAGCCAUGCCGCGUGAGUGAAGAAGGCCUUCGGGUUGUAAAGCUCUUUCGGCCGGGAAGAAAUCGCAUUCUCUAAUAUAGGAUGUGGAUGACGGUACCGGACUAAGAAGCACCGGCUAACUACGUGCCAGCAGCCGCGGUAAGAC
rnacentral:rRNA from 1 species